CUGGCUGGCACCCUAGUCUUCAAACACUUCCUUUUACCCACAACUUGGAAGAGUAGUUUUGCAUGUUGGAGAGUGGAAGUAGCUUAUGCCUAAGUUCUGAUCACAGACACGGUGAUGGUAACAUCCUCUGACGUGGUAACAGAACAUGUGACCCCAGCCCACAAGAUGAGAAAAACUCUGGCUUGGCCAACUCUGGUUUUAAAGGUUGGAGAGAUGUGGAAAUUUGCACUUGUAGUUGCUGCUAUUUUUGGAACCAAUGAAAAAGUUUCACAGAUUAUUAACUUUUAGUAGUUGAAGAUUUUUAGAUUGAAAGAUUGCUGGGAGAGACAACCUCGCCAUCUGAUUAACGGCAUGAAUUUCUUCUUUAUAAUGUUCAACUACAGUAUGAAUUGGCAAACAUUUUCUCUAAAGCUCAACACAGUAAAUAUUUUAAGCUUUACAGGGCCAUACCAAACAGGUGCUGGACCAGACCUGGACUCCCUGGGGCCACAGAGCUUCAUUUGAACUAAGUAGAAGACUGCUCUGGUUAGGGAGGCAAUCGGUAAAGAAAAUGAAGCAUCCAUCUAGCAUCAUCCCACUGGGAGGAAAGAAGGAGACCAAAAGAAGGUAAACAAUAGCAAAAAAAUCUCUGAAGGAGUAAAUCAAGAUGGAGUUGAUGGAUAAGGAGGAAUAAAACUACUCCAAUUAUCUGGAACUUACACUAAAUGAAAAGCAAGUCUCCAAGAUAGAAGCUGAGCAUGACAAACAAAUGCUGACAAUAUCAGGUAGUGCUUCAGUUCAACUAUGAGGGAUUCUUUCUCCCACAACUUCCCUACUCCAGGAACUUGGAAAGUGGAUCAUCUCUGACAGCUAAAUUCCAAAACAAACACUUAGCAGAUUGGAACAUAAUUAUGCCAAUUUAUUAUCAAAAGCCAGAAUAGCUCUCAGGACAGCAAUACCUGAUUAAAAUUAGAAAGAUGCUGGACUACCUUAGAAACAGUGUGUCAAGAAGAAGGAGAAUGAUCAGUAAUGCAAACAGAGAAAAGAGCAAGUGAGGAGCAAAUUUUGGCCAUGUCUUCUGCCCUGUGCACAGAUGUUCUAUCACCAGAGAGCAGAAACCUGGUCAUGGGGCAGGAUGUCCCAUUAAGGGAAUGAGCUCAUGGGGCGGCCACAUCAGCCUCCUCUUGCUAAGAGUGCCUGCUCCCUGAGACGCUCCUGAUGGUAAUUUGGCUUCCACGAAGACUUGUCUGCAAAUAGAGAAUAAGCUGUGCAGCGGAGCAAAUUAUCUACUCUGCUUUGAGUUCUUAUUGUAAAGUAAUAAAUUGGUAUUUUGGUUUUUAAUCAUCAGUCCCCGGUGAAUUUUGUGUGAGUCCUCUCGCUCUAAUACUUCUGAGAAGAUGAACAAUCACAUUCUGAUCCUGAAAAGCCAAGGACCACGGUAAGGCCAAUGGGCC
rnacentral:lncRNA from 10 species